GGCACGGUGGCGCAGUUGGUAGUACUGUUGCCUUGCAGGAAGAAGGUCCUGGGUUCGAUUCCCGUCCGGCGGUUU